rnacentral:rRNA from 1 species
UACGUAGGUGGCAAGCGUUGUCCGGAUUUAUUGGGUUUAAAGGGAGCGUAGGCGGACAGUUAAGUCAGAGGUGAAAGCCCAGGGCUCAACCCUGGAAUUGCCUUUGAUACUGAUUGUCUUGAGUAUGGGAGAGGUAUGCGGAACUCCGAGUGUAGAGGUGAAAUUCGUAGAUAUUCGGAAGAACACCAGUGGCGAAGGCGGCAUACUGGCCCAUUACUGACGCUGAGGCUCGAAAGCGUGGGGAGCAAACAGG